UACGUUCAAACCACCAUGAAAGCACCCGAUCCCAUCAGAACUCAGAAGUUAAGCAUGGUUGGGCUUGAUCAGUACUGGGUUGAGGGAUCACCUGGGAACCUCAAGUAACGU
rnacentral:rRNA from 1 species